AAGUUGUAACAAGGUUUCUGUAGGUAAACCUACAAAAGGAUUAUUACCUUUCUAGCUAUUUAAUAGCUUAUUAAAGGGCUAUAGUCUCUAUAGCCUCUAACUAAAUCCGUGUUUUUUACGUACUACAUGUUUCCUCAGCAGGCUUACUCGUCAGUUAGAUAACCUAAAACUCUUUGCAAUUGCAAUUAGCGUCUAAAUUAUUUAAUAAUUACAA
rnacentral:misc_RNA from 1 species